GGAAGAGCCCAAACCAACAAGCUUGCUUGUUGGGGUUGUAGGACACUCUAUACGGAGUUACAAAGGACGACAUUAGACGAAUCAUCUGGAAAGAUGAAUCAAAGAAGGUAAUAAUCCUGUAGUCGAAAAUGUUGUCUCUCUUGAGUGGAUCCUGAGUACGACGGAGCACGUGAAAUUCCGUCGGAAUCUGGGAGGACCAUCUCCUAAGGCUAAAUACUCUCUAGUGACCGAUAGUGAACCAGUACCGUGAGGGAAAGGUGAAAAGCACCCCGGAAGGGGAGUGAAAUAGAACCUGAAACCGUGUGCUUACAAGUAGUCAGAGCCCGUUAAUGGGUGAUGGCGUGCCUUUUGUAGAAUGAACCGGCGAGUUACGAUUUGAUGCAAGGUUAAGCAGUAAAUGUGGAGCCGUAGCGAAAGCGAGUCUGAAUAGGGCGUUUAGUAUUUGGUCGUAGACCCGAAACCAGGUGAUCUACCCUUGGUCAGGUUGAAGUUCAGGUAACACUGAAUGGAGGACCGAACCGACUUACGUUGAAAAGUGAGCGGAUGAACUGAGGGUAGCGGAGAAAUUCCAAUCGAACCUGGAGAUAGCUGGUUCUCUCCGAAAUAGCUUUAGGGCUAGCCUCAAGUGAUGAUUAUUGGAGGUAGAGCACUGUUUGGACGAGGGGCCCCUCUCGGGUUACCGAAUUCAGACAAACUCCGAAUGCCAAUUAAUUUAACUUGGGAGUCAGAACAUGGGUGAUAAGGUCCGUGUUCGAAAGGGAAACAGCCCAGACCACCAGCUAAGGUCCCAAAAUAUAUGUUAAGUGGAAAAGGAUGUGGCGUUGCCCAGACAACUAGGAUGUUGGCUUAGAAGCAGCCAUCAUUUAAAGAGUGCGUAAUAGCUCACUAGUCGAGUGACACUGCGCCGAAAAUGUACCGGGGCUAAACAUAUUACCGAAGCUGUGGAUUGUCCUUUGGACAAUGGUAGGAGAGCGUUCUAAGGGCGUUGAAGCAUGAUCGUAAGGACAUGUGGAGCGCUUAGAAGUGAGAAUGCCGGUGUGAGUCGCGAAAGACGGGUGAGAAUCCCGUCCACCGAUUGACUAAGGUUUCCAGAGGAAGGCUCGUCCGCUCUGGGUUAGUCGGGUCCUAAGCUGAGGCCGACAGGCGUAGGCGAUGGAUAACAGGUUGAUAUUCCUGUACCACCUAUAAUCGUUUUAAUCGAUGGGGGGACGCAGUAGGAUAGGCGAAGCGUGCGAUUGGAUUGCACGUCUAAGCAGUAAGGCUGAGUAUUAGGCAAAUCCGGUACUCGUUAAGGCUGAGCUGUGAUGGGGAGAAGACAUUG
rnacentral:rRNA from 1 species